AUUUUCAGCUUCUGCGCCCGUACCUCAGGCCAAAUGAGGUACUGCGGGCCAAUGUUCGGCUUUUCUCGGCUCCUGCGCCCCCAUAUACCUCUCAGGCCAAAUAAGGUACUGCAGGUCUAUUUUCGGCUUCUGCGCCCGUACCUCAGGCCAAAUGAGGUACUGCAUCCCAUUGAAGUCAAUGCAGAACAAAUUAUUUUCGGCCUAUUUAGCUUGAAUUCUGCUCGUCUUGCAAACCGAGUCAAAAUUAAAAAAAAAAAAAAAGUUGCGCGCAAAUUUAAAACGCUCUCAGACCAAGUUACUCUUAAACUGAGGUUCCACUGUACUGGGUUAACUUUUCCCACUUUUUUUAAGGCUUGGUUUCCACUAGUGCGACUUGGGACUGCAAAGUCGCAUGACAAGUCGUACCCCAUGAUUUCCAAUGAGUACCAUUCAUAUCUGUGCGACUUCAAAGUAGUCACUGCACUACUUUGGUCCCACUUUUGAUGUGACUUUAGGUCUAUAGACUUGGUCCAUCGCUUCAAGUCGCAUCAAUUUGCAGGUCGCUUUCAGGUCGCAUUAGUGGAAACUUGGCCUAAAGUUCCUAUUUUUGACUUUUUCUAAAUGAUACGGUUUCCUCUUUCUGCAGAUUUUCUUGCUGUAUCUUCACAAUAACUCCACUCUCAAUUGUAUUUUGUUUAUAUUCUUUCUGCAUGUGAGAGGGCGGGCAGAAUAAGCAAAAACAUUUUUUUUAUUUUUUACGGGAAACGAUCGCUAAUCAUCAGGUAAUCGCUCACAAUAAGGCAAUGAUUCAAUCUUAUAUGAAGAAUAAUUUCAUAGCGUUAGAAAUCGCAUAUAGAGGGAUAGAUGGCUUAAAGUAUUCAUCCGCUUUUGUACAUGGAGAGCAGUGGUCUCCAGACUGAGGCCCGGGGGCCAGGUGUGGCCCUUUGCUUGCCUUUAUCUGACCCUUGGGGCACUAUUCCUUCCACUGAUGCUAUUCUCCCAUUGACGCCUAUAAUGGGGCGCUAUUCCUUCCCCCCUAAUUACCAAUCUUGCGAUGUUUACCCCCCAAUAUCAAUGACAUGGUAUUGAUAAGAGCUAUUUUAUCUAAGGAAAGUUCCCAAAACAUGGCCCGUUGGGUGGUCCUUGAAGGACUGAGGUUGAGAACCAAUGUUCUACAGAGUUGUUGGAAAGGGGGGGGGGGGGCAGUUUUUUACUGAUCCUUGGGCUAUAACUGUCCAAAACAGAGCACACCUACCCUAAAUCAAUCCUUGGGCCAGCAACAUCCAUGAUGGCACACACCUACCCUUACCAAUCCUUGGGCCAACAACAUCCAUGAUGGCCUACACCUACCCUUACCAAUCCUUGGGCCAACAACGUCCAUGAUGGCCUACACCUACCCUUACCAAUCCUUGGGCCAACAACGUCCAUGAUGGCGCACACCUACCCUUACCAAUCCUUGGGCCAACAACGUCCAUGAUGGCGCACACCUACCCUUACCAAUCCUUGGGCCAGCUACACCUAACUUUACCAAUCCUUGGGCCAGCUACACCUAACUUUACCAAUCCUUGGGCCAGCAACGUCCAUGAUGGCGCACACCUACCCUUACUAAUCCUUGGGCUAGCAAUGUCCAUGAUGGAGCACACCUACCCUUACCAAUCCUUGGGCUAGCAAUAUCCAUGAUGGAGCACACCUACCCUUACCAAUCCUUGGGCCAGCAACACCUAACUUUACCAAUCCUUGGGCCAGCAACGUCCAUGAUGGCGCACACCUACCCUUAACAAUCCUUGGCCCAACAACGUCCAUGAUGGCGCACACCUACCCUUACCAAUCCUUGGGCCAGCAACAUCCAUGAUGGCGCACGCCUACCCUUACCAAUCCUUGGCCCAACAACGUCCAUGAUGGCACACACCUACCCUUACCAAUCCUUGGGCCAACAACGUAUAUGAUGGCGCACACCUACCCUUACCAAUCUUUGGGCCAGCAACAUCCAUGAUGGCGCACACCUACCCUUACCAAUCCUUGGGCCAGCAACAUCCAUGAUGGCGCACACUUACCAAUCCUUGAGCCAGCAACGUCCAUGAUGGCGCACACCUACCCUUACCAAUCCUUGGGCCAGCAACAUCUAUGAAGGCGCACACCUACCCUUACCAAACCUUGGGCCAACAACGUCCAUGAUGGCGCACACCUACCCUUACCAAACCUUGGGCCAACAACGUCCAUGAUGGCGCACACCUACCCUUACCAAACCUUGGGCCAACAACGUCUAUGAUGGCGCACACCUAACCUACCCUUACAAAUCCUUGGGUCAAUGCUGUCCUAGCUCACAUGGCCUAUCCCUGCCCAGCUGACCAAAAUAUAUUUUAAUUAAAACAUUUUCAAGGGUUUGGAAAAUACUCUGCAGCACCAAUUUGGAUAUUCAGUACAUAUACUGUAUUUAUCAGAGACUGUAUGUAAAAAAAAUUAAAGAAAAUAUUAAGAAGUUCCUGAAAAAAAAAUUCAGACUCUUUGGCACUUGUAAGAUUUUAAAUGUAAAUAGUUAUUUUUUUUUUUCUUGAAUCUGUAUAACAUUUGGGGCUGUCAAAUGACUAGUGCAAUCUUUUAGUAAAUAAAUUAAAAUAAUAAAAUAUCAAUUGUUUUCCCCGCU